AAAGAUUAGUGGGAGUUAAUCAUGUUCCUAAAAUUUAAAUAUAUAUGAUAUAUUAAUUUUGGAAAUGAAAUGAAUACUUCUUCGUUAAAGUUAUGACUUUAAUACAUUAUAUAAAGAUAGAAUGUAUAUGGGAGUUAAUCAUGUUCCUAAAAUUUAAAUAUAUAUGAUAUAUUAAUUUUGGAAAUGAAAAGAAUACUUCUUCGUUAAAGUUAUGACUUUAAAACAUUAUAUGAAGAUAGAAUGUAUAUGGGAGACAUAGUCUAUAUACAUGGGAUGGAAAUCUAUAAUGAUAGAUUUUAGGAUAUAAUUGGAUUAUAUCAAUCCCUAAUAAUAGACAAGAGAUGCUAGGAAGUUUCUCAUAUGAUGAUAAACUUCAAUCAAAAGGAC
rnacentral:lncRNA from 1 species